GAGUGUUCCACGGUUGUCAUGC
rnacentral:miRNA from 1 species